rnacentral:misc_RNA from 1 species
ACGAAGCGCACCUGCGGUUG